ACCCACAGCCCACUCAUUUAAGAGUGGGUCUUUAAGCAGCGUUGAGCCUGGUUAGUACUUGGAUGGGAGGCCACCUAGGAAUACCAGGUGCUGUAGGCA
rnacentral:rRNA from 1 species